UUCUACGAUGGUCGUCGUAGUGCUUUCCAACCUGUCGAGGUAGAACGUUUCAGACUUUAGUGAGGAAUGAAACGAUUCGAUGGAGGCAUUAUCAGCGG
rnacentral:antisense_RNA from 1 species